rnacentral:rRNA from 1 species
UACGGAGGGGGGCUAGCGUUGUUCGGAAUUACUGGGCGUAAAGCGCACGUAGGCGGCUUUGCAAGUUAGAGGUGAAAGCCCGGGGCUCAACUCCGGAAUUGCCUUUAAAACUGCAUCGCUAGAGUUGUGGAGAGGUAAGUGGAACUGCGAGUGUAGAGGUGAAAUUCGUAGAUAUUCGCAAGAACACCAGUGGCGAAGGCGGCCAACUGGUCCGGUACUGACGCUGAGGUGCGAAAGCGUGGGGAGCAAACAGG